GAGGGAUUCGUGCAUGUCUUAGCAGACAGAAUCGGUGCUGCCAUAAUUACAUAUUUCCUGAGUGAGUUCUUAGAACAAUUGCGACUACUGAAGCAUAUACAUUGAGACCAUCAACUUCUACUGCAGCUUCUCUUUCCCAUGAGGAUGAUGGCGUUAAUGGUUUAAGACUACAUUCUCAUCCAGUUUUAGAUAAGUUUAGAAAAAAAAAGUUAUUUAUGUAGUCUAUAUCUCGAGUUAGUGGCGUUUCAUUGUCAUUUCUGUGCUCUUGAAGAAAAAUUUAGAAUCUAGUUAUUUUAAGGCAUUUUUUAGUCUAUUUUACUAUGAAUCUAGUUGGAAAUAUACUGUUGGCAACACUGAUUUCCAGUUUCCACCAUCGAUUAGUCUAAAUCAGUUAUUCAGUUUGUUCGCGGUGCCGAGAUGGUGAGUUUGGUAGAAAGUGCAUGUUCACGAUGUAGUUUCGAAUAUAUGUUUUCAGCAGUUGCAGGUUAAAGUUUUUUGUAAAUUGGUAGCUUAUUUUUCAAUUGCUAAACGUUCAGUCUAUGAUGAUUUAGCUUUGUACAUGGUUAGACCACUGACCACGUGUGUGAGGAUAUUGUCUAGGGCGGUCUGAGACACAUUUUAUACAUAGAGCUGAUUAUUUAAAUGCUCUCGCAUGAAAAUAAUUUGUUUUCUUUCGUUUCAAGUCUCGUCGAAUGGUUAGCGCCCAUCGCCAUAGUUCCAUGGGGUUUUAUCCAGAGAAGAGAUCAUUGAGGCUUCGUGGUGAAGUGAAGUGAAGCGAAGCGAAAGCGUUUCACGUUACUUCACUUUUUAGCUAUAAAGCUGGUACGAGUCACGUGGUGAGAGAUGCCAAUAGGCCUGGUUCAAGUGGGUGAAGAAGAAUCAUCCCUGCUUAUAAUGAUGAGAUACUUGUUUGCCAAUCUGGUUUCCCUAUACCAGCAUUCUGUCUUAUCUGCUACACUCCCAAGAUGUUUUUGAAAUGGUACAAGUCAAGGAAAAAGCUUCCAAGAAGUGGCAAGAUGAUCUGGGUUAUAAGUAAAUUAAUUGUGACCUCAAAAAAAUUGAGACAUGACAAGGUUAUUGGAGCCCACUCAGAUACACAAAAUGCUGCACUGGCAACAUUUUUGCAAUUACACCCAUUUAUAGAGGUGUCAUGGUUCAAUAUUUAUGCAGGAGACUACCAAAGGCUUGUUUAAUCUAUGCCUCACAAAGUUGCUGCACUCUGAUGGGCAAAAGGUCCUACACGAUAUUAUGAGGUGUCACAUUGCAUUAGCACACAAAGAAGCUGCCAUGUAAAACACACAAGGGCUUAUGUAAGGGUGCUUGCACUGGUGCCUGCCAUCCUGAUAGUCAUUCAUUGUAGCCAAACUUGAAGGUUACCACCAUAGAGCAGAUCAAUGAGAAAAUGUUGCAUUGGUCAGGGAAUUAAUGUGAAAGAUGGAAAGGUGAUGAAAAACAGCGCAUAUAUUGAAUGAUUUAAUAGAGAAGACCAUUACACUGUGAGGUGCCUCACAUUAUGGUGAUGUCAAUGAUGACUUUAUCAUAAAAUAUUUGUGUAAGAGAUCAGAUAUGAGGGUUAUAACUGUACAAAAGUCACUACUUGUGCACACGAAGAGGAAGGCUUUGGAAAGAUCAACUUAUAAUUCAUUGAGACUUCAUCCAUGUUCGGUUGUGGACAGUUCCAAACUGCCGAUGACAACUUAAUUUAUGGACUUGCUUAAAAAAGACCACAUCAAGGAAGAUGCAGCUGUUGCAUAAUAUGUUGAUUGAAAUAAAAUGAUUGACAUGAUUUAUUAUUAAUCUGUUA